rnacentral:rRNA from 1 species
AGGCCUAACACAUGCAAGUCGAACGGUAACAGGAAGCAGCUUGCUGCUUCGCUGACGAGUGGCGGACGGGUGAGUAAUGUCUGGGAAACUGCCUGAUGGAGGGGGAUAACUACUGGAAACGGUAGCUAAUACCGCAUAACGUCGCAAGACCAAAGAGGGGGACCUUCGGGCCUCUUGCCAUCGGAUGUGCCCAGAUGGGAUUAGCUAGUAGGUGGGGUAACGGCUCACCUAGGCGACGAUCCCUAGCUGGUCUGAGAGGAUGACCAGCCACACUGGAACUGAGACACGGUCCAGACUCCUACGGGAGGCAGCAGUGGGGAAUAUUGCACAAUGGGCGCAAGCCUGAUGCAGCCAUGCCGCGUGUAUGAAGAAGGCCUUCGGGUUGUAAAGUACUUUCAGCGGGGAGGAAGGGAGUAAAGUUAAUACCUUUGCUCAUUGACGUUACCCGCAGA